GUUUGUGGGCUCCGGCGGUGAUGGAUCACUGUUUCAGUGGCAUUUAAAUCCCCGGCGCUCCUCAGUCUAGGUGACGUGCCAUCGCCCCCCCAGGCAGCCCAGGCGGCGGCAGCUGCAGCUGCGGCGGCUGCAAAGGCAGAUUCAGAGCGCUGGAACCCAGGGGCGCUGAGGCUGCCUUCUGCGCGCGCCCGACUCCGCUCGCCCCCCCCCCCACCUCCGGGAGGUGGGGGCUAGGAGGCAUCCCCCGCCCCCUCCCCACCGCGAUCAGAAAGAUGAACUGGCAAGAGGUCUGUUUUGCCUGAACCUAUCAGCUGGGAGAUUAAUCGACCACACUGAAAUAUGCCUGGAUGGGAGGAAAACUUGUGAGGGAGGGGUUAAAAUGUAGAUGUUUGAAACAAAUGUGUAUAAAUAAAGGAAUUGUUGAUAACUUAGUUAAAAACAUGGAGACUAGCAGCUAGUUAAAGAAACUCCACAUUAUUCAUUCCUAGAGCUGGGCAUUUCUGUAGGCACUUUAUGUUUCUACUUUGUAAAGCUUGAGCUUUAGCACACCAUAGGCUGCCCAAUUCUGUUUUUAUUACUAAUUUAAGCCUAUACUGGAAACCAAAAAAAAUUUUUUGAAACACUUGUCAGAAGCCCUAGCCAUUUUCUGGCCUCAUUCUUUGUUGCUAUCUGUUGAAGACUUUGAGCGUGCCACCUUAAUAAAUAUAUUAAAAUUGAAAA